rnacentral:rRNA from 1 species
CCUACGGGUGGCUGCAGUGGGGAAUUUUGGACAAUGGGGGCAACCCUGAUCCAGCCAUGCCGCGUGAGUGAAGAAGGCCUUCGGGUUGUAAAGCUCUUUCGGCCGGGAAGAAAUCGCUUCGGCUAAUACCUGGAGUGGAUGACGGUACCGGAAGAAGAAGCACCGGCUAACUACGUGCCAGCAGCCGCGGUAAUACGUAGGGUGCGACUGUUAGUCGGAAUUGCUGGGCGGAAAGCGUGCGCAGGCGGUUAAAUCCCAGGGCUUAACCUGGGAACUGCGUUUGUGACUGCGAGACUUGAGUGCGGCAGAGGGGGGUGGAAUUCCACGUGUAGCAGUGAAAUGCGUAGAGAUGUGGAGGAACACCGAUGGCGAAGGCAGCCCCCUGGGUCGACACUGACGCUCAUGCACGAAAGCGUGGGGAGCAAACAGGAUUAGAUACCCGGGUAGUC